CAGUCGCCACGGUAAUACGGAGGGUGCAAGCGUUAAUCGGAAUUACUGGGCGUAAAGGGAGCGUAGGCGGCGUGGUAAGUCAGAUGUGAAAUCCCGGGGCUCAACCCCGGAACUGCAUCCGAUACUGCCAUGCUAGAGGAUUGGAGAGGUAGCUGGAAUUCUUGGUGUAGCAGUGAAAUGCGUGGAGAUCAAGGGGAACACUCGUGGCGAAUGCGAGCUACUGGACAAUAACUGACGCUGAGGCUCGAAGGCCAGGGUAGCGAAAGGGAUUAGAUACCCGCGUAGUCCCUGUCUCUUAUAC
rnacentral:rRNA from 1 species